CAGUUGCAACUGUGACCCUGCUCAACCGUUACAUAUAUAGGCCUGUGAUACGGCAACAACACUUCAGUUGAAAGAUUCACGCCGGCAACUGCAAAACUCAGCGACUUCCGAUAACAACGUGUUUCUACUAGAGGAACAAAAAAGAUGGGAAUAAAUAUAAUUCAUGUGCUCUGUCUCGUUGCCGUGUUUGCUUCAAGCGUACAUUCAUUGCCGAAGCGGAAUGACCAUGUUAUUACUCUGCGUUCGUUACGACAAACCGGCCUCAGUGAUUCUGACAGUCGAGCAUUACUUCAAGCAUACAUUCUCGGAAAGCUAUCCAACGUAGACAUUGCUGGUAACAAGGAAGCAGACAAUUCAGAUUAUACUACCAUUAAGAGGAAAGCAUUUUGGAGACCUAUGGGUUACCUUCCUUUUGAUAACCAUGGCGGUAGUGGCGCUAGCAGCAGCAACGAUAACUCUCCCAGUGGAGGCACAGGAUCUGCUGUGUUCAGAUAUGGUUAAGAGACUCUGAAAAAAAAAUCAAAUAUAUAAUGAGGUGAGAAUUAAAGAGUACCAGUAUGAACUAAGUAAAGACCUAACGAAUUGGUUAUUGUCUUCAGCGAGGUUGAUUCAAUUAAAAUAGUUAUUCUUCUUCA
rnacentral:lncRNA from 1 species